rnacentral:rRNA from 1 species
GUCUAUGGCCAUGCCACCCUGAACAGGCCAGAUCUCGUCUGAUCUCGGAAGCUAAGCAGGGUCGGGCCUGGUUAGUACUUGGAUGGGAGAUGACCUAGGAAGACCAGAUGCUGUAGGCA